rfam:Amborella trichopoda AMTR_V1.0_contig_33, whole genome shotgun sequence.
UACUUUCGGAUCAGGGCUUAUUGUCCUACGACUUUCAUAGUCUACAGGCAUUUUGGUACCUGCGGACCUAGGUCACGAACUGCUCUCUCAUUAUUCGCAUCGCGGAUACAAGUGAUAGAAAAUGACCUCAAACAACUCGGAUAACCAUAGUAAUUCUAGAGCUAAUACAUGCAAGAAAUCUUGACCUCUGAAAGGGAUGCAUUUAUUAGAUAAAAGGCCAGCGCGGACUUUGCCCGAUGCUUUAGUGAAUCAUGAUAACUCGACAGAUCGCGCUGCCAUUAUGCUGGCGACGCAUCAUUCAAAUUUCUACCCUAUCAACUUUCGAUGAUAAGAUAGGGGCCUACCAUGGUGGUGACGGUUGACAGAGAAUUAGGGUUCGAUUCCGGAAUGGGAGCCUGAGAAACAACUACCACAUCCAAGGAAGGCAGUAGGAGGGCAAAUUAUCCAAUCUUGACACGGGGAGGUAGUGAAAAUAAAUAACAAUAUUGGGCUCAAAGAGUCUGGUAAUUGGAAUUAGUACAAUCUAAACCCCUUAACAAGGAUCCUUUAGAGGGCAAGUCUGGUGCUAGCAGCCACAGUAAUUCCUGCUCCAAUAGCAUAUAUUUAAGUUGUUGCAGUUAAAAAGCUUGUAAUUGGAUCUUGGGCGGGGCCGACAGGUCGGCCUUCAUGGUGUGCACUAGUUGUCCCGUCCCUUCUCCCGAUGAUGCGUUCCUGACCUUAACUGGUCGGGUCGUGCCUCCAGCACCGUUACUUUGAAGAAAUUAGAGUGCUCAAAGCAAGCCUACGCUCUGAGUACAUUAGCAUGGGAUAACAUCACAAGAUUUUGGUCCUAUUGUGAUGGCCUUCGGGAUUAGAGCAAUGAAUAAGAGGGACAGUCUGGGGCAUUCGUAUUUAAUAGUUAGAGGUGAUAUUCUUGGAUUUAUGAAAGACGAACCACUGCGAAAGCAUUUGUCAAGGAUGUUUUCAUUAAUCAAAAAUGAAAGUUGGGGCUCAAAGACGAUCAAAUACCUUCUUGGUCUCAACCAUAAAUGAUGCCCACUAGGGAUCGGCAGAUGUUGCUCUUAGGACUCCGUUGGCACCUUAUGAGAAAUCAAAGUCCUUGGGUUCCGAGGGGAGUAUUGUCGCAAGGCUGAAACUUAAAGGAAUUGACGGAAGGGCAUCACCAGGAGCAGAGCCUGCGAUUUAAUUUGACUCGAUACAGGAAAACUUAACAGGUCCAGACAUAGUAAGGAUUGACAGACUGAGAGCUCUUUUUUUAUUCUAUGGGUGGUGGUGCAUGGUCGUUCUUAGUUGGUGAAGCAAUUUGUCUGGUUAAUUUAGUUAACGAACGAGACCUCAGCCUACUAACUAGCUAUGGGAAGGUAACCGCCACGGUCAGCUUCUUAGAGGGACUGGUCGUUUAGGCCACAGAAGUUUGAGGCAAUAACACAUCUAUGAUGCCCUUAGAUGUUCUAGGCCGCACGCGUGCUACACUGAUGUAUUCAAUGAGUUUAUAGCCUUGGCUGACAGGCCCGGGUAAUCUGUCAAAAUUUCAUCGUGAUGGGGAUAGAUCAUUGCAAUUGUUGGUCUUCAACGAGGAAUUCCUAGUAAGCGUGAAUCAUCAGCUCGUGUUGACUACGUCCCUGCCAUUUUUGUACACAUCGCCCGUCUCUCCUACCGAUUGAAUGGUACAAUGAAGUGCUUGAAUCGCAGCGGUGGAGGUAGUCCGCCGUUGGCGACGUCAUGGGAAGUCCACUGAACCUUAUCAUUUAGAGGAAGGAGAAUUCGUAAAAAGGUUUUCAUAGGUGAACCUACGGAAUGAUCAUUG